rnacentral:rRNA from 1 species
GAUUAACGCUAGCGGCAGGCCUAAUACAUGCAAGUCGAGGGGCAGUCUCGCAGCAAUGUGAGAGCGACCGGCGUACGGGUGCGUAACACGUAUGCAACCUACCUUUAACUGGGGCAUAGCCCCGAGAAAUCGGGAUUAAUACCCCAUAACAUUGCGAAAUGGCAUCUUUUUGCAAUUAAAGCUCCGGCGGUUAAAGAUGGGCAUGCGCGACAUUAGCUUGUUGGUGAGGUAACGGCUCACCAAGGCUACGAUGUCUAGGGGUUCUGAGAGGAUUUUCCCCCACACUGGUACUGAGACACGGACCAGACUCCUACGGGAGGCAGCAGUAAGGAAUAUUGGGCAAUGGGCGCAAGCCUGACCCAGCCAUGCCGCGUGCAGGAUUGACGGCCCUAUGGGUUGUAACCUGCUUUUGUACGGGAAAAAACCCCCGGUCGUGAACCGGGGCUGAUGUUACCGUAAGAAUAAGCAUCGGCUAACUCCGUGCCAGCCGCCGCCGUAAAAC